rnacentral:sRNA from 1 species
GCUGGGCACAGUGGUGUGUACCUGUAAUCCCAGCAACUCUGGAGGCUGAGGGGCAGGAGGAUCUUGAGUUCAAAGCCAGACUCAGCAAAAGCAAGGUGCUAAGCAACUCAGGGAGACCUUGUCUCUA